CGGGGGGGGCAAGCGUUGUUCGGAAUUACUGGGCGUAAAGGGCUCGUAGGCGGCCAACUAAGUCGGAUGUGAAAUCCCCAAGCUUAACUUGGGAACUGCAUCCGAUACUGGAUGGCUUGAAUCCGGGAGAGGGAUGCAGAAUUCCAGGUGUAGCGGUGAAAUGCGUAGAUAUCUGGAGGAAUACCGGUGGCGAAGGCGGCAUCCUGGACCGGCAUUGACGCUGAGGAGCGAAAGCUAGGGGAGCAAAUGGGAUUAGAUACCCCGGUAGUCCUAGCCCUAAACGAUGAAUGCUUGGUGUGGCGGGUAUCGAUCCCUGCCGUGCCGAAGCUAACGCAUUAAGCAUUCCGCCUGGGGAGUACGGUCGCAAGGCUG
rnacentral:rRNA from 1 species